CAGCCGCCGCGGUAACACAGAGGGUGCAAGCGUUAAUCGGAAUUACUGGGCGUAAAGCGCGCGUAGGUGGUUUGUUAAGUUGGAUGUGAAAGCCCCGGGCUCAACCUGGGAACUGCAUCCAAAACUGGCAAGCUAGAGUACGGUAGAGGGUGGUGGAAUUUCCUGUGUAGCGGUGAAAUGCGUAGAUAUAGGAAGGAACACCAGUGGCGAAGGCGACCACCUGGACUGAUACUGACACUGAGGUGCGAAAGCGUGGGGAGCAAACAGGAUUAGAUACCCGCGUAGUCCCUGUCUCUUAUAC
rnacentral:rRNA from 1 species